rnacentral:rRNA from 1 species
UACGGAGGGUGCAAGCGUUAUCCGGAUUCACUGGGUUUAAAGGGUGCGUAGGCGGCUAUAUAAGUCAGUGGUGAAAGCCCGCAGCUCAACUGCGGAAUUGCCAUUGAAACUGCAUAGCUUGAAUCUGGUUGAAGUGGGCGGAAUACAUCAUGUAGCGGUGAAAAUGCUUAGAUAUGAUGUAGAACACCGAUUGCGAAGGCAGCUCACUAAGCCCAACAUUGACGCUGAGGCACGAAAAGCGUGGGGUAGCGAA